AUUGAACGCUGGCGGCAGGCCUAACACAUGCAAGUCGAGCGAGCGGCGGACGGGUGAGUAAUGCCUAGGAAUCUGCAUGGUAGUGGGGGAUAACGUCCGGAACCGGGCGCUAAUACCGCAUACUAUCAGAUGUGCCUAGAUGGGAUUAGCUAGGGGGUGGGGUAACGGCUCACCUAGGCGACGAUCCCUAGCUGGUCUGAGAGGAUGACCAGCCACACUGGAACUGAGACACGGUCCAGACUCCUACGGGAGGCAGCAGUGGGGAAUAUUGCACAAUGGGCGCAAGCCUGAUGCAGCCAUGCCGCGUGUAUGAAGAAGGCCUUCGGGUUGUAAAGUACUUUCAGCGGGGAGGCGUUACCCGCAGAAGAAGCACCGGCUAACUCCGUGCCAGCAGCCGCGGUAAUUC
rnacentral:rRNA from 1 species